GCCGGUUUGAUUUACAGACCAUAAAGCAGUUGAGCUGAGCAGUCCUCUCAUAGGUUGUCCGUUGAUACCCUCGUAGUGACCUUCCCUUUAUGCUUCAAAUCUGUAAUCCAUACCAUUAUUGCCAUCUGGCAGCACACUUACAUUAAAGGAAAUCACUAUGUCUAACAAAAUGACUGGUAUCGUAAAAUGGUUCAACGCUGAUAAAGGCUUCGGCUUCAUCACUCCGGACGACGGCUCUAAAGACCUGUUCGUUCACUUCUCUGCUAUCCAGAACGAUGGCUACAAAUCUCUUGAUGAAGGCCAGAAAGUAUCCUUCACCAUCGAAAACGGCGCUAAAGGCCCGGCUGCUGGUAACGUAACCAGCCUGUAAGCCUGCCUGAGAGCCUGUUUCUGGCUCUGUAGCACGUAAAGAUCCUCGUCAAUGACGGGGAUUUUUUU
rnacentral:sRNA from 1 species